rnacentral:tRNA from 1 species
GGCCCCGUAGCUCAAUCUUGGAAAGAGCAGUGCUGUCGCAGGCAAAGGUUGUAGGUUCGAAUCCUACCGGGGCUGCCA